rnacentral:rRNA from 1 species
UCAAGCUAUAAAGAGCACAAGGGGAAUGCCUUGGCACUAGGAGCCGAAGAAGGACGUGACUAACUGCGAUAAGCUACGGGGAGUUGUAAGUAAACAUUGAUCCGUAGAUAUCCGAAUGGAGCAAUCCGGCUGUGGUCAUGCACAGUCAUCAUAUACUGAAUACAUAGGUAUAUGAGGGGAACCGCCUGAACUGAAACAUCUAAGUAGGGCGAGGAAGAGAAAUCAACCGAGAUUCCGCUAGUAGUGGCGAGCGAACGCGGAAGAGGCCAAACCAGAGGUAGAAAUACCUUUGGGGUUCGGACAACAUACGAUAUUGACAAUUUCUAGCUGAAUAGUGUGGGAAAGCUAACCGAAGAAGGUGAGAGUCCUGUAAGCGAAAGGAAGAGUCAGUCAGUUGUAUCCAGAGUACCGCCGGACACGUGAAACCCGGUGGGAAUACGGGGGGACCAUCCUCCAAGCCUAAAUACUACCUAGUGACCGAUAGAGAAGAAGUACUGUGAAGGAAAGGUGAAAAGCACCCCGGGAGGGGAGUGAAAGAGAACCUGAAACCUUGUGUUUACAAGCACCGAAAGUCCAUCAAAGGACGAUCGGGUACCUUUUGUAGAAUGGUCCGGCGAGUGUAUGUAUCUAGCAAGGUUAAGCACUUAAGGUGUGAAGCCAAAGCGAAAGCAAGUCUGAAUAGGGCGACAAGUUAGAUGUAUACGACCCGAAACCGGGUGACCUACCCAUGGCCAGGCUGAAGUGAAGGUAAAACUUCAUGGAGGGCCGAACCGACUCCCGUUGAAAUGGUAGCGGAUGAGUUGUGGGUAGCGGAGAAAUUCCAAUCGAACCCGGAGAUAGCUGGUUCUCUCCGAAAUAGCUUUAGGGCUAGCCUUGAAAUAGAUUACUGGAGGUAAAGCACUGAAUUGGCUAGGGGCCGAAAGGUUACUGAACCUUAUCAAACUCAGAAUGCCAGAUAAUCGUUUUUCAGGAGUCAGACGGUGGGAGAUAAGUUUCAUCGUCAAAAGGGAAACAGCCCAGACCCACAGCUAAGGUCCCAAAUUAUAGUUAAGUGGAGAAGGAUGUGGGAUUGCAUAGACAACCAGGAUGUUGGCUUAGAAGCAGCCACUCAUUAAAAGAGUGCGUAAUAGCUCACUGGUCGAGUGAUCCCGCGCCGAAAAUUUAACGGGGCUAAACUAUAAACCGAAGCUUGGGAUACCGCAAGGUAUGGUAGGAGAGCGUCAUGUAAGGGGUGAAGUCAUAGCGAAAGCGGUGGUGGACUUUACAUGAGUGAGAAUGCCGGAAUGAGUAGCGAGAAUUAAGUGAGAAUCUUAAUGGCCGAAAGUCUAAGGUUUUUGGAGGAAGGUUCGUCCGCUCCAAGUAAGUCGGGAGCUAAGGCGAGGCCGAAAGGCGUAGUCGAUGCACAUACGGUUGAUAUUCCGUAACCACUGACAACUUAAACAAAAUGACACUUUAGAAGGGCUUGACCCGGGUGCUGGUAAUCCCGGGCGUAAGGGACCGAAAUUUAGUAGGGAAGCAAGCUUGGAUGGAGGCGAGAAAAGUUUUGUGUAUGUAAUGUUGGUGCCCGUACCGCAAACCGACACAGGUGGACAGGAAGAGAAUUCUAAGGCCAGCGGGAGAAGGGUAGUUAAGGAACUCGGCAAAUUGACUCCGUAACUUCGGGAAAAGGAGUGCUCUCGAGAGAGAGCCGCAGUGAAUAGGCCCAGGCGACUGUUUAGCAAAAACACAGGUCUCUGCCAAAUCGAAAGAUGAAGUAUAGGGGCUGACACCUGCCCGGUGCUGGAAGGUUAAGAGGAGGAGUGAGAGCUCCGAAUUGAAGCCCCAGUAAACGGCGGCCGUAACUAUAACGGUCCUAAGGUAGCGAAAUUCCUUGUCGGGUAAGUUCCG